AUAGGACCCUGCCUCACUGUAAGGUGUCAUGAUGGUGUCCCGCAGUCAAGAUAAGGCCCUGCCUCACCGUAAGGUGUAAUGAUGGUGUCCCACAGUCAAGAUAAGACCCUGCCUCACCAUAAGGUGUAAUGAUGGUGUCCCGCAGUCAAGAUAAGACCCUGCCUCACCAUAAGGUGUAAUGAUGGUGUCCCACAGUCAAGAUAAGAUCCUGCCUCACCCUAAGGUGUAAUGAUGGUGUGCUGCAGUCAAGAUAAGGCCCUGCCU
rnacentral:lncRNA from 1 species